GACGAACGCUGGCGGCGUGCCUAAUACAUGCAAGUUGAGCGCUGAAGGUUGGUACUUGUACCGACUGGAUGAGCAGCGAACGGGUGAGUAACGCGUGGGGAAUCUGCCUUUGAGCGGGGGACAACAUUUGGAAACGAAUGCUAAUACCGCAUAAAAACUUUAAACACAAGUUUUCAGUUUGAAAGAUGCAAUUGCAUCACUCAAAGAUGAUCCCGCGUUGUAUUAGCUAGUUGGUGAGGUAAAGGCUCACCAAGGCGUUGAUACAUAGCCGACCUGAGAGGGUGAUCGGCCACAUUGGGACUGAGACGCGGCCCAAACUCCUACGGGAGGCAGAAGUAGGGAAUCUUCGGCAAUGGACGAAAGUCUGACCGAGCAACGCCGCGUGAGUGAAGAAGGUUUUCGGAUCGUAAAACUCUGUUGGUAGAGAAGAACGUUGGUGAGAGUGGAAAGCUCAUCAAGUGACGGUAACUACCCAGAAAGGGACGGCUAACUACGUGCCAGCAGCCGCCGUAA
rnacentral:rRNA from 1 species